CAGAGCACGUAGCACAAGGGUCAGUGGAACGAGUUUAUUAUUGGAAUUUCAGAAUGAGUAUAGUGUGCAUGAUAAUCUCCAUCGUCAGUCGUUUAGUUAAAAUUUGUCUUCAAGAGGUAAACGACAAUAGUUUUGAGAUAAGACAACACUACGUAUAUGGUGAUUAAAAUUCCGAAAACUUUCCAUAAAUUCGUAAAGUUAUAAAUUAUUUUCAAAAUGAGACACCAUAUCAACGAGACUUUUAUAAAAAUACUGUUGAUGAUGGUGAUGAUGAUGACUCAUUGUGUAACUUCAAUUUGUGAACAAAAUAACAAUUUCUGUGAAAAACGAUUGGAAAUAACAUCAACCGACGAUUACAUGGAAUUGAACCACAAAUAUGUAGAAAAUGUAGCCUCGACCGAACUUCCAAAGAAUAGAUAUCCAGAAAGUCGAAUCGUACACAACGGAUUUUUUUACUAUUCGAAUGUUAACGGUUUAUUUGUACGACAAGAAAAUUCAACCAGUGAAACGAAAAUUGAUGGAUUUCCGGAAUUCACAACAAUUUUACUGGAUUCAUCUUCCGAUCUUCUUUAUUUCGGUACGAAGCAAGGAUUAUCGGUAUUGACAUGCGGCAGAACCAGAUCGAAUAAGAUUCAUGUUACGGAUGGGUUUGCCGUUGACUUUGGUGUGGUUGAUGGCAAUGGAAAUGUUUAUUUCGGUAAUUAUGGAGACAGCAUGCGAUCAGGUGAAAAUAUGUUCGUUUUGAGAAAAGAAGACCAGCGUUUGAUUAGGAUCAGUGGCGUCGAACAGACGAUCGGUAGCUAUACACUUGAAAGCAUGGCUAAUCCAAAUAAAAUUGCUGUAGACAAGGAAAAUAAUGUCUACGUGGGAGGAUUUGCAGGAUACAUUUACUUAAUUGAACCGAAUCAAACCACUGCAAUAAAACUCAAAGAUAUUAAAAGCAAUGGAGGUGUUACGUCUAUUGUUAUCGAUAGUAAAGACGAAGUUUAUUUUCGCACAAAUCACGCGCUAUAUACGCUAACGAGUCGUGAGAAAAAGUUGACCAAAAUGUUUGAAUUAGCCGACGAUUUUAAUUAUUUUCUUUCGAUUGAUGAUGACGACAAUGUGUACUUUCAAUUUACAUCCAAAUUGUAUGUGUUGAAGCCAGAAGCAGUUACUGCGACCGAAAUUAAUAUGCUUUCAACAUCAGAAGGUUUAAGUACUGGUAAUUUUACCGAAAUCCAAAAUUUCCAGGUCAAAAAUAAAGUUUUAUAUUUCACAUCAACGUAUCUGGGUGGAGAAACAAUUUUCGCAUUAAAACCAACUGAAACUAGUUUAACUGUAAUCCAUACAGUCGCCAAUUCCAUCAUUUCAUUGGCUAUUGACAAUUCGGCUAAUGUUUAUUUCAUCACCUUUUCGAACGAUUUGGAAAAGUAUGUGCCGUUUGUAUUGCGAAAAAACAGCAACAUUCCGAUAGAAAUCCGCGGAGUGACGGGUCACCUUAGCCACGUCUUUGCAGAUAAUCGUAAUAACAUCUUCUUCGGAUCGGGCAACGGUUUGCACGUAUUGGAGGAAGACGAGAUAACACCUUUUAAGGUCCGCGCAACGGAAAGUCAAAUUAGUUCGUUUGUGGUGGAUAAAAACGAUAACGUAUAUUUCGGUACGGACUACGAUGGUGCCUUUGUUUUGAGAUCCGGAAUGCCGGAAGCUGUUCGGAUUGAUGGAAUCAAUACGAAAUUCGGUAGAUAUGUAGAGGUGUUUGGGGACAGGAAAUAUGAUGUCAUUUACUUCAAAACUGGCGGUGCACUUUUCAAAUUAAAUGGAGGAGAAACGGUUGUGAAAACGCUGGUUGAGGGUUAUAGUCCUGAUUUGUAUUUGAGUAAUUCUGCGAAUGACGUUUAUUACGUCCAAUCAAAUGAUGGUAAUUCCAGCAUAAUGUCAGUAAAAGUUAAUGAAACAAAAGCUACAAAUGUUAUUGAUGUCGAAGGUGAAGUGCUUCAUUUGAAUUCAGAUAGAUUUAAUAAUUUAUUUUUUAUUACGGACAACGAUGAAUUGCAUAUGCUCGGACCUGGUGAACUGACAUCAAAAGUAAUUACGACAAAUCAAAAAUUUUCCUCAUUAAAUAUUGAUCGGGACAACAAUGUUUACUUUACAACUAAAAACGGUGUCGCAUUUGUUUUAAGGUAUGAGGAGACUAAAGCAACGAACGUGAAAAAUGUCUACGGAAAUUUCAAAUAUUUCGUCGAAAGUGGUGAUGACAUCUUGUUCCUCAUCGCAAAAUCAGAAAAUGAACAAGGACUGUUUUUAGUUCGAAAUAAAUUGCAAUUUGAAACCAUUUUCAAGAAUAGAAAUUUAGGAGUGGUAGACGAUACCAAAGACGAGACAAUUUUCAAUAUGUUGAACUACUUGAAUUUCAAAGAUAAUUACUUGUUGAAUAGGAACAAAAAUAAAAUAAUUAACAAAACACCAACAUCGGCAACAGUUUUGGCAACGAAUGGGAAAUUUCGCGGUGGUUUUAAUGUAACGUAUUCUGUGAAAAUCAAAGAUGAUGAUAGUGUAGCAAAUUUUGACCUAAUAGAACUGUUAGAAAUGGCAGUGUUUUUCGAUCAUGUGAGUCAGAACAGAUACAACUUUCGAAACAAAAUGGAUACUCGCAAUAUUUCCAUUUUCACCGAGAAUUUGAGAUUUUUAACGGUUAAAGUUACCCAGAAUUCUGAACCAAUCUCAUCAAUCGAAUUUAAAAAUAUUUGUUUCAAUAAAAAGAGAGUCGCCAACACAUCUCCGCUCUCGCAGUCCAUUAAAAUUCCAGAAUGUAAAUACGAAACUAAGGAAACAAUUUCGUUUCAAGUUACUACUGGACUGAAUAAAACUAAUAACAAAAUCGAAGAAUCAAUGGAUCCUGUUUUGAAUUCUGAUGAUGAGAACGUAAUUUUGAAUAUUCUCGGUGAUAGGACUAGCACAAAUACGGAAGCGGAAGUUACAUUAUCCGGUGCUUUUGAUUUAUCGAACUUAAAGAAGCAUGGUCGCGAAAACGGUUUAUAUAAUUUCCGAGACGAUGAGCAAGAAAUUAUCAUUCCACCGAAAAAACGGAUUUUAGUCAAUUACUCAGUUCGAACUUUAGUUCUGGAAACGAAGUUGAAUUUAAGACAAAAAAUUAAAGGAACAAUCAUUGCGAAAAUUACUCACGCAGAUUCUGAUGAGACCGUUCAAAUUACAAUUAAAGAAGCGAUGCAGACAUUAAGGAAUAACAAUAUUUUGCCAAACGAGAUAUCUAUCAAUGCAGACAACAGUAUAACGUUCAAUGGAAAAGCAAAGUUAAUCGUCAAACGGGAAAGUGAACCGAAAAUAAUAAGAAACUUCUAUGACAUCUGAAGUGUUAUCAUUUGAAGACUUCAUCCAAAAUAAGUGUCUUAGUUAACUAUUAGAAUAGUGAAAAGAAGAACCAUGUUGAAGAUGUGAAUAAAUUUAUGUUCUGAAA